UAGUGAGUUUGAUCCUGGCUCAGAUUGAACGCUGGCGGCAGGCUUAACACAUGCAAGUCGAGCGGGGAAAGGUAGCUUGCUACUUAACCUAGCGGCGGACGGGUGAGUAAUGCUUAGGAAUCUGCCUAUUAGUGGGGACAACAUCUCGAAAGGGAUGCUAAUACCGCAUACGUCCUACGGGAGAAAGCAGGGGACCUUCGGGCCUUGCGCUAAUAGAUGAGCCUAAGUCGGAUUAGCUAGUUGGUGGGGUAAAGGCCUACCAAGGCGACGAUCUGUAGCGGGUCUGAGAGGAUGAUCCGCCACACUGGGGACUGAGACACGGCCCAGACUCCUACGGGAGGCAGCAGUGGGGAAUAGUUGGACGAAUGGGGGGAACCCUGAUCCAGCCAUGCCCGCGUGUGUGAAG
rnacentral:rRNA from 1 species